rnacentral:rRNA from 1 species
UACGUAGGGGGCAAGCGUUGUCCGGAAUUAUUGGGCGUAAAGAGCGCGUAGGCGGUCCGAUAAGUCGGCUGUGAAAGUCCAGGGCUCAACCCUGGAGAGCCGGCCGAUACUGUCGGACUAGAGUUCGGAAGAGGCGAGUGGAAUUCCCGGUGUAGCGGUGAAAUGCGCAGAUAUCGGGAGGAACACCAAUUGCGAAGGCAGCUCGCUGGGACGAUACUGACGCUGAGGCGCGAAAGCGUGGGGAGCAAACAGG